UACGUAGGGGGCGAGCGUUGUCCGGAGUUACUGGGCGUAAAGCGCACGCAGGCGGUCUGCUAAGUUUGGAGUGACAGUUGGUGGCUCAACCACCAAAGUGCUUUGAAAACUGACAGACUUGAGGGCUUCAGAGGGACACGGAAUUCCGGGUGGAGUGGUGAAAUGCGUAGAGAUCCGGAGGAACACCGAAGGCGAAGGCAGUGUCCUGGGGAGUACCUGACGCUCAGGUGCGAAAGCUAGGGGAGCGAACGGG
rnacentral:rRNA from 1 species